rnacentral:rRNA from 1 species
GGCGACGCCGAGCGGAACCCGAAAACCUGUCUCAGUUCGGAUCGGAGUCUGCAACCCGACUCCGUGAAGCUGGAUUCGCUAGUAAUCGCGCAUCAGCCAUGGCGCGGUGAAUACGUUCCCGGGCCUUGUACACACCGCCCGUCAAGCCAUGGAAGCCGGGGGUGCCUGAAGUGUGCAGCCGCAAGGAGCGCCCUAAGGUAAAACCGGUGACUGGGGCUAAGUCGUAACAAGGUACC